UGACCAGCGGAGGGAUCAUUG
rnacentral:rRNA from 1 species